ensembl:lincRNA
UGAGCAGCUCCUGGGAGCUUGGACCUGCUGCAGGGCCCUGGCCAGGCUGGCGUGAAGCUGAGCCAGCUCAUCCUGCUGCCGGCUGAUCUGGAGCUCGCUGUGGGCCUCGAUCCCCACCACCUUCUCCUUGGCCUCCUGCAGCUCCUGGCGGGCCUUCUCACAUUCCUCCUUCAGGGUCAUCAGCUGUUCCUGGAACAUAGCGCCGUACUGCGCCUCCUCCUGCUGGCUGUCCUCAUACCGCUCACGCCAGGUGGCCACCUCCUUGGCCAGCUGCUCACACUCACUCUCAGCCUCACGCUGGGAGGCUACAGCCUCGGCCAGCUCCUGCCGCAGGGCUUCUGUCUGGGCCUGAUGGGCCUCCCCGAGCUGCUGUAACCGGGCCUCCAGCCCCUUACGCCCAGCUCUCUCUUCUUCCAGCUCCUUCUGCCCCUGCUCGUGCUGCUCCACUAGGCUCUGCGUCUCCGCCUCCAACCUGCAGAUGCACCGCUGCUGCUCUGCCAGGGUGUCUGCAGUCCUGCGCUUCUCCUCUUCCAGGCUGCCUGUGGUGGCCUUCAGGGACUCUUCCAGGGCCUGGACCUGCUCCUGAAGCUGGGCCUUCUCCUGGGCCACGCUUUCCCACUUGGUUGCUUUCUGCUGCUCAGACCUCAACUGGGCCUUCAGCUCUGCUGCCUGGGCCUGUGCCUCACUCUGCCCCUGGCGGGCUGCCUCAACAUGGGCACGGAGUUCCUCCACCUUCUGGCUCAGCUCCGCCUUCUCCUCCUGGGCCUGUGUCAGUGAGGUCUGGGCACCCUCCUGGGCUUCAUGGGCCGUCCGCAGCUGCUCUUGAAGGACCUCCAACUUGGCAACCUUCUCCUUCUCCACAGCCCCCAGCUGCUGGAGGGCUGCGUCUCUCUCCCGGAGAGCAGCCUCCCGCUCCUCAGCUGCAGCAGCCAGUUGCUGGGCCUGGUCUCGCCUCGUGGCCUCCUUCUCCGUGGCAGCCUCUUCCAGCUGCCGCUCCUUGCGCUCCAGGCUGCUGCUCAGCUGCUCCACCUGCUGGCGGAGGCCCUGGGCAGCCUCUUCCUGCUGCCGGAGAGUCUGUGUGAGCUGCGCCUGCUCCGUUUGGGCCUGCUGCUUCAGGCCAGCCAGUUCCCCAUCCCGCUGCUGCACAGCAGUGUUGAGGGUAUCCAGCUCAGAGGUCAGUGUGGCCACCUGGGUGGACAGCCGGGCCACCUGAGCCUGAGAAGCCUGCUCCAGCUCCUCCUUGGCCUGGCUGAGGUUGGACAGGGAGCCCUGCAGCUCGGCAAUCAGGCCGGCCAGCUGCUGCUUUUCUUCUUCGAAGUGGCUCCGCUCGGCGAGCAGCUUGGCUUCCCGCUGGCCCCGCUCGGUCUCCAGUGCUGCCACCCUGGCUUGAAGCUGGGUGUUGUCUGCGGCGAGAGUGGCUGCCUCUUGCUUGAGGGUUUCCAGCUGGUAAAAGAGACAAACGGGGAUCAGCACAACUCCUUGGUGCCCUCUACCCCUCUGGGGAUUGAGGACCACCAGGAACCUGAACAUGGAGAGCACGGGUCAGCAGCCACCCCAGCCCACAGGUGUCACCGCUGCCCCUGA